CCAGAGGCUGGGUCUAAUUAGUUGAGAAGCAGUGACACCCCCAACCACUCCCCAAACAGGCUGGCUCCCAUCUCCAGGCCCCAAGGAGCCACACCUGGACCAGACCCCAGGAAAGACAUGUGGUGGAAACCCUAGGGCCCUGGAUCCCAAGGAGAGCAAGGGCUGUAACAAGUGCACAGGCAAGGGCACUAGCUAGUGGGAGCCACCCCUGCUACGCUGAUGCUGGAGAAGCAAGAACUCUGGAGAAGCAGCCUCCUGGGACCAGAGGGGGGCCAGCAGCAGGCAGCUCGGCUACAGAACUCUCACCCACGCCUCUCCAAGCCUCCCGACAGAAGACAGAGGUCCCCCACAGCCCAGAGACAUUUCCUGAAGACAUGGGGACCACAGAGGCAGAAACAGCCCAUCCACCCAGGAGCUGCCCCCCACGCUGCCGGGAGCCAGCACCCAGAGCCGCCAGAUAAAACUGAGGCCACCUGGUUCAACAUUGCCUUUCACAGAAGGGGAAACAGCCACAGAAAGAAGGGCCUGGUAAGAAGUGGAACCUGGGACCCCCAAGCGGUGUCUCUCAUCCUGACUGGGGAUCCAGAGUAGGA
rnacentral:lncRNA from 1 species